ACCUACGGGGGGCAGCAGUGGGGAAUAUUGCACAAUGGGGGAAACCCUGAUGCAGCGACGCCGCGUGAGUGAAGAAGUAUUUCGGUAUGUAAAGCUCUAUCAGCAGGGAAGAAAAAAGACGGUACCUGACUAAGAAGCCCCGGCUAACUACGUGCCAGCAGCCGCGGUAAUACGUAGGUGGCAAGCGUUAUCCGGAUUUACUGGGUGUAAAGGGCGUGUAGGCGGGAGUGCAAGUCAGAUGUGAAAACUAUGGGCUCAACCCAUAGCCUGCCUUUGAAA
rnacentral:rRNA from 1 species